UUCGAUUUUUCUGGAUUUUUUGAAUUUUUUUCUUACGGCCUCUAAAAUUUUACACUUGUUACUAGGGGACCUGCACGGAACGACUUCCGCGUGGAGGUUACUCCGUUUUUUCUGGAUCGUUCCUGUGACGCGUGUGGGGCUUGUGUCCUGGUUUGUUCCUGUGCACAAUUUUUUUUACCUCUCCAAGCGUUUUAUACGUUUCAGAUUUGUUUUUUCUUUCACUGCUUUGACUGGGUUGGAUCUGAUCUCUACCGCUUUGACCAAUUCUUUCUUUGCUCGCCACGUAUGUGUUUGUAUGUCGAUUUCUUGUUGCACCGAUUUUUCCGGGAUCUUCUCGUGCGCUGUGGCCGGCUAUAAAUAUGCUCUCGUGGUGUUCUUUCUUCUCCCCGUCUCGGUCCUUUCCUUUGGGUGGUGAUAUGUCUGGUGGGUCUGUCCAUGGUGAUCGGCGUGCCGAUCGGCCGCCGCUGGUGCCUUCUUCGGUUCAUGCAUCCAGCCGUGGAUCUUCUGAUCGGUCUAUUCCUGUCUCUCCAUCGCCGGUCGCCGAUCCAAUGCCGCCUGCCUCCCCCUCUACCCCUUUCCCGGCGGCGGGAUAAUAUCAGUAUCCGGUUCCCUUUGACAGUUUUGGUGGAUGGGGCGGCGUUGUGGUGGAAGGAUCUGGACAUCGUUCGAGGCCCAUGUGAAAGAAAUUAUGUGCAGGCUGCUGGUAACCGCUGACGCCGAGGCCAUCCACCGCGUGGAGGACUUCUUCGGCAUUUCCGGCGCGUUGUGGGUUGAGCUUCUGCAGCCCGCUGCCUGCUGGACGCUUCUUCCCUUUAUCCUUGGUGUACAAGACAUGUUCUUUCUAAAAGCGAUGCCCACUGAUGUGUUUGAUACUUCGACUUUGACACCUUUUUAUCCAGUUUGAGGUAUUCCAGUGAUCUUAUCAUGUUAGCUUUCUUAUAAGUGUUCUUCUACGGGUAUCGAAGAAAUUUUAUCUUGAGCAAAGAGAGCUUUCUUCCAUAUUAGGUCGCUUUAGAGGGUUAGUAGUAAGGGAGUUCCUACCAAGACCGACUUAUGAAAGUUAUGCUAGCUCCAUCAGUCGUGGAGCAGCAACUGCACCAGUGUCCCUGCCAUGGUGGCGAUAUGGACGGCACCACCAUAACCACGUUAAUGGUCCAAGCCCGAGAUUUGGAAGCAGGCAGGCCAUGGCAGGGCAUUGGUUUCUUGGCAGGCCAUGGCAGGGCAUUGAUUUCUUGGAUCAGUUUGCAUCAGGAUCGUGUGAAGUAUGCUUAGUAGCCAUGGCU